rnacentral:tRNA from 1 species
GCCCACUUAGCUCAUCUGGUAGAGCGGCGGUUUCGUAAACCGCAGGUAGUCGGUUCGAGUCCGACAGUGGGCUCCA